AUGUUCUCUGUAGCUCUGAUACUGCUGCUGGCUGCUGGAUCCUGUGUGAACAGUAUUGAUCUCAUCCAGACAGACUCAAUGGUUGUGCAGCUUGGACAGUCUCUGACCAUCAGCUGUCAGGUCUCUGGUUAUUCUUUGACUGAUGACAGCUAUGCAACAGGUUGGAUCAGACAGAGUGAAGGAAAACCAAUGGACUGGAUUUCCCAUCAGUGGGGAACAAGUGGCCUUCGUCAAAAUAAUGCUCUGAAGAACAAGUUCAGCUACAGCAGAGACACUUCUGCUCUAACAGUGACUCUAAAAGGACAGAAUGUGAAGCCUGAGGACACAGCUGUGUAUUACUGUGUGCGUGUAAGCUACACAGUGAUACAAACCACCAACAGACCUGCACAAAUACCCAGCAACCAGCAAGACUCAAACACACACACACAUGUUCUAAAUGUGAACAUUAAUAAAGACAGCACUCUUGAAUGA